GACGAACGCUGGCGGCGUGCUUAACACAUGCAAGUCGAACGGAAAGGCCCUGCUUGCAGGGUGCUCGAGUGGCGAACGGGUGAGUAACACGUGGGUGAUCUGCCCCUUACUUUGGGAUAAGCCUGGGAAACUGGGUCUAAUACUGGAUAGGACCAUGCUGUAGGUGGUGUGGUGGAAAGAUUAGUUUCGGUAAGGGAUGAGCUCGCGGCCUAUCAGCUUGUUGGUGGGGUAAUGGCCUACCAAGGCGUCGACGGGUAGCCGGCCUGAGAGGGUGGACGGCCACAUUGAGACUGAGAUACGACCCAGACGCCUACGGGAGGCAGCAGUGGGGAAUAGUGCACAAUAGGCGCAAGCCUGAUGCAGCGACGCCGCGUGGGGGAUGACGGCCUUCGGGUUGUAAACUACUUGCCGCCAUGACGAAGCCCUUGUGGUGACGGUAGUGGUAGAAGAAGCACCGGCUAACUACGUG
rnacentral:rRNA from 1 species